UACAGAGGUCUCAAGCGUUGUUCGGAUUCAUUGGGCGUAAAGGGUGCGUAGGUGGCAUGGUAAGUUGAAGGUGAAAUCUCGGAGCUCAACUCCGAAACUGCCUUCAAUACUGCUGUGCUCGAGGACUGUAGAGGAGAAUGGAAUUCACGGUGUAGCAGUGAAAUGCGUAGAUAUCGUGAGGAAGACCAGUGGCGAAAGGCGAUUCUCUGGGCAGUUCCUGACACUGGAGGCACGAAGGCUAGGGGAGCAAACGGG
rnacentral:rRNA from 1 species